rnacentral:rRNA from 1 species
GAUGAACGCUGGCGGCGUGCCUAAUGCGUGCAAGUCGAGCGAACGGACGAGAAGCUUGCUUCUCUGAUGUUAGCGGCGGACGGGUGAGUAACACGUGGAUAACCUACCUAUAAGACUGGGAUAACUUCGGGAAACCGGAGCUAAUACCGGAUAAUAUUUUGAACCGCAUGGUUCAAAAGUGAAAGACGGUCUUGCUGUCACUUAUAGAUGGAUCCGCGCUGCAUUAGCUAGUUGGUAAGGUAACGGCUUACCAAGGCAACGAUGCAUAGCCGACCUGAGAGGGUGAUCGGCCACACUGGAACUGAGACACGGUCCAGACUCCUACGGGAGGCAGCAGUAGGGAAUCUUCCGCAAUGGGCGAAAGCCUGACGGAGCAACGCCGCGUGAGUGAUGAAGGUCUUCGGAUCGUAAAACUCUGUUAUUAGGGAAGAACAUAUGUGUAAGUAACUGUGCACAUCUUGACGGUACCUAAUCAGAAAGCCACGGCUAACUACGUG